UUCUUAUGUCCUAUCCAUUCUUAUAGUAUCUAUGAUUAAGUGGCCCCGACGACAAAUUACAUGACAGUCGGCAUAAUUACAUUUCGUUGGUCAACACGGCAAUAACGACGCCCCUUGCCACUUGUCAAGAUCGAGACGCCUCUUCGCCGCUGAAGGUUCGGCCGGGCCGAAGCGGACGUGCAGUCGAGCCGCGAUCUCGCAGAUCCACUGGGCGCCCUUUUAGUUCGAUGCCGAACAUCGCGGCGUUGUUUAGUUCAGGCCGACAUCGAGUCCGUUCCAGCGCAAGUUUGAAAACGGCUGAACUAAGCCUCGUGUGUAGCCUACUGUAGCGCACGCGAGUUUGCCGCAGAAGCCUGUAAUCUGCAGGGUCCGCAACCGAUAACGGACACCGAGGGGCAGUGGUCGCUGUGUCUGCGAUCUGUGUGACCGCGUCUACCGUCGGUGGUGCCAACGGCGGUAUUUGAACCGGCGGUUGCGCGACGCGCGGUGUCAGUAUUGGCCGGUUGGUGUAGUAGCGGCGUCAGUGUUGGCCGGGUAGUGAAGUGGCGGUGUCAGUGUUGGCCGGGUAGUGUAGCGGCGGUGUCAGUGUUGGCCGGGUAAUGUGGUAGUGGUGGCGGUGUCAGAGUCGACGCGACGGCGGUGGUGGUAGAGAAUAGCGAUAGUGGUGGUGGUGUCGUACAUUAUUGUUAUAAUAUAAUAUAAAUUAUAAUAUAUGAUGACUUCCCUCGCGGUCCCUUGCGCAACAACCGCGGCUUGUUCUCCUAUACCGCGGAUAUUAUGUCACAAAACCGCGAUCAAGUACCAGGGUUUCAUGUACCGGUGGUGGCAUUUCGACCGCGGAACUCGACCUCGGCAAUCGGAUCGAGUCGAGCCACCAGAUCAAGUGUCACGCGCACCAGGACCGCAUGCCCGAACGUCGUCGGGACCAGCGAAGCCGUUUCCUUCGUUUCGAGCAAUCUCUCUCCACCGUCACCGUGUUAACCCGCAACAGUGUCAAUAAUAUAUACUGUCAAAUGUCGGUAUUAUGAUGGAUGGUUUUGUCAAAGUCAAUUUAUCAAUACAUUAUUAAUUACACUUUAAUAAAAGUGAGUGAAAUCAAACAUGUCGCAAUGAUGGUCAGCGCCCAGCGAAAAAUUGUCUGCUGAAUAAUUUACAGUAAACAAGCGGGAUCUCCUUUGAAAAACAGAAGGUUGCAUCACCACAGAAGUACAGAACUACACUCUAUUGAAGUAGGUAGUAGGUGAACAAAAAUCUCAAGAAUUUGAAAAUACGAUUUUUAAGUAUAUUUAAAAGUUCUAAAAAUCAGAAUUUGAAUAAAUUCAUUAUUUGGAAGGGACGGAGCACGCUAGGUGGAAUCCCCUGUAUAUAUAUAUUUAAUAUAGCCAAUAUAGGUAUAUAUAAUAUAUUAUCUAAGAUAACUCGACAAGAAAGUUGAUCAUUAAAAUGUAGCAAUUGAAUUAGUAUAGAAAUAAAUAAUAGUUAUAUUUAAUUACCAAUAAUUAUGAGAAGACGAACAGUGUAAAUGUAUUUUUUAAUUUGU